GUAAGCUAUUUAAGGGCAUUUUGGUAAAAUGCCUUAAUUAAUGAAUAAAGACAAAAUAACAUGAAAUAAAUUAUCAUCUUCUUCAAUUCUUUUCUUCAUGGCCGUAUGUAGCAAGGGAACACCAUGGCUAGGGUUUGUUCAUCUUCCAAGCUUCAUGAUCAAGAAAGAAGUGGAAUCGACCUUGACCGGAGAAAAGGAAAGAUUAAAGACUAAAUUGCUAAAUUUUUAUAUUAUUGCAUCAAAGUAAGUUACGUGUAAAUAAUAGUUAUAUUUUUAUAAAUUGUGAAUUAUAUUUGAUAUGUGAAUUAAUAUUGAAUGUGGAAGGAAAAUUGUUCAUGAA